UACGGGGGGGGCAAGCGUUGUUCGGGAUUACUGGGCGUAAAGGGCUCGUAGGCGGCCAACUAAGUCAGACGUGAAAUCCCUCGGCUUAACCGGGGAACUGCGUCUGAUACUGGAUGGCUUGAGUUUGGGAGAGGGAUGCGGAAUUCCAGGUGUAGCGGUGAAAUGCGUAGAUAUCUGGAGGAACACCGGUGGCGAAGGCGGCAUCCUGGACCAACACUGACGCUGAUGAGCGAAAGCCAGGGGAGCAAACGGG
rnacentral:rRNA from 1 species